rnacentral:rRNA from 1 species
AUUGAACGCUGGCGGCAGGCCUAACACAUGCAAGUCGAGCGGCAGCGGAAAGUAGCUUGCUACUUUGCCGGCGAGCGGCGGACGGGUGAGUAAUGUCUGGGAAACUGCCUGAUGGAGGGGGAUAACUACUGGAAACGGUAGCUAAUACCGCAUAACGUCGCAAGACCAAAGAGGGGGACCCUCGGGCCUCUUGCCACCAGAUGUGCCCAGAUGGGAUUAGCUAGUAGGUGGGGUAACGGCUCACCUAGGCGACGAUCCCUAGCUGGUCUGAGAGGAUGACCAGCCACACUGGAACUGAGACACGGUCCAGACUCCUACGGGAGGCAGCAGUGGGGAAUAUUGCACAAUGGGCGCAAGCCUGAUGCAGCCAUGCCGCGUGUAUGAAGAAGGCCUUCGGGUUGUAAAGUACUUUCAGCGGGGAGGAAGGUGUUGAGGUUAAUAACCUCAGCAAUUGACGUUACCCGCAGAAGAAGCACCGGCUAACUCCGUGCCAGCAGCCGCCGUAAGAC